CCUACGGGAGGCUGCAGUGAGGAAUAUUGGUCAAUGGCCGAGAGGCUGAACCAGCCAAGUCGCGUGAGGGAAGACGGCCCUACGGGUUGUAAACCUCUUUUGUCGGGGAGCAAAGCGAGUCACGUGUGACUCAUUGAGAGUACCCGAAGAAAAAGCAUCGGCUAACUCCGUGCCAGCAGCCGCGGUAAUACGAAGGGGGCAAGCGUUGUUCGGAAUUACUGGGCGUAAAGGGAGUGUAGGCGGUUUAGUAAGAUAGUGGUGAAAUCCCAGGGCUUAACUUUGGAAUUGCCAUUAUAACUAUUAGACUAGAAUUACAGAGAGGAUAGUGGAAUACCCAGUGUAGAGGUGAAAUUCGUAGAUAUUGGGUAGAACACCAGUGGCGAAGGCGACUAUCUGGCUGUACAUUGACGCUGAGGCUCGAAAGCAUGGGGAUCAAACAGGAUUAGAUACCCUUGUAGUC
rnacentral:rRNA from 1 species